AGGGUUUACGUUUAGGGUUUACGUUUAGGGUUUAGAGUUGAUGUUUUAGGGUUUAGAUUUGAAGGUUUAGGGUUUAGGGUUUAGAGUUGAUGUUUUGGGGUUUAAGGUUUAGAGUUGAUGUUUCAUUGUUUAGGGUUUAGAGUUGAUGAUUUAGGGUUUAAAGUUGAUGUUUUAAGUUUAGAUUUAGGGUUUAGUGUUUACGUUUAGGGUUUAGAGUUGAUAUUUUAGGGUUUAGAUUUGAAGGUUUAGGGUUUAAGGUUUAAGGUUUAGAGUUGAUGUUUCGGGGUUUAGGGUUUAGUGUUGAUCUUUCAUUGGGGGUUUAGAGUGAUUUAGGGUUUAGAGUUGGUGUUUUAAGUUUAGAUUAGUUAACCAUAUGUUUUUUUUAUAAAAGUUAAUGAAAAAGUUAUAAAUGUCUUUUACCCUUAUUAAAAAUGAG
rnacentral:lncRNA from 1 species